AUGGGGAAGGCGGGGAGGUGGCUCAGGAACUUCUUGGCCGGCGGCAGGAAGGAUGGGAAGAGGGACAGGCCGCACGCCGAGGCCACGCCGGGACCGGGGCCUGGGGCGACGCCCAAGGAAAAGAGGUGGAGCUUCCGGCGGCCGGUGGUGCUGACGCCGGAGCAGACUGGACGCGUCGUGCUGCCGGCUGAGGCCGACAGCUUUGGUGCGUCUCGGUCGUCCGCGACAUCGCAGGUUGGGUACGACGAGAAGAAGCACGCCGUGGCGGUGGCUGUGGCGAGCGCGACCGCCGCAGACGUGGCGGGCGCCGCGGCGCAGGCGGCGGCCACUGUGGCACGUCUGUCUUCCCGCAAGGCGCCGCACCUGACGCCGCCGGCGAGCCUCCUCGCCGAGGCGGCGGCGGCUGUGAGGAUUCAGGCAUCCUUCAGAGGCUAUCUGGCGAGAGCGGCGCUGUGCGCGCUGAGGGGCAUCGUGAAGCUGCAGGCGCUGGUGCGCGGUCAGCUGGUGAGGAAGCAGGCCAAGGCCACGCUCCGGUGCAUGCAGGCCCUGCUCGCGGCGCAGUCCCAGCUGCGCGCGCAGCGCAUGCGCUUCCUUCAAGUCCAAGACCACCACGCCCACCACACAACGCCGCCUAGACCACGACCGUCGUCGCAGCACUCGAGGCACCGCAGAUCGUCCUACGAGAUGGACCGGUCGAGCGAGGAGAAUAUGAAGAUCGUCGAGAUGGACAGCGGCGAGCAGCCAGCGCGGCGCGGCGGGGCGAAGGGCGGCGACAGGCAGUUCUCCUCCGUCGAGUACCACCACGGCGGCAGGUGCUCGCCGGCGCCGUCGGCCAUGACGGAGCUGAGCCCGAGGGCGAGCAGCUGGCACGUGGAGGACCACCUGUCCUUCGGGACGGCGCACAGCAGCCCGCACUCCCACUCCCACAACGCGACGGCGGCCAUGGCGGAGCCAGCGGCGUCGGACUUGCCGUUCCCGAGCUACAUGAGCAACACCGAGUCGUCGAGGGCCAAGGCGCGGUCCCAGAGCGCGCCGAGGCAGCGCGCGGCCGCGGAGGCGCUGGAGCGGCAACCGAGCAGGAGGAAGGGGGCGGAGCACAGGAGCGUGCCGCGGGGCGCCAGGAUGCAGCGGUCGUCGUCGCAGCAGCAGGCCGGGUCGGCGCCGCGCCAGUCGCCCUUCUUCCACCGGCCGUGGUCGUCGUCGACGUCGGUGAGGCUGGACACGUCGACGGCGUCGCUCAAGGACAGCGAGUGCGGGUCCACCACCAGCUCCGUGGUCACCGCGGCCACCACCGUGUCCACCGUCUACAGCCGGACCCGCUCGCUCGUCGGAUUCGAGGUGACAAUUCUACACUCAAGCAUCUUACGGAUCGAUCAACUGCACAUAACCACUGCUGUUAUUUUAUCGUGGCAUAUCUUUUUUUUUCAGGUGCGCAGGAGCCUGUAUUGA
rnacentral:rRNA from 1 species